rnacentral:lncRNA from 1 species
UUCAAAAUACUAAAUCUUUUCAUGUUAAAGCUCCAUGAAGUUGAAUUAGAUGUCUUCCAAAGAUUCUUUGGAGGCCGACUUUAUUUUCUGUUGUUGAGUGGGAAAUCUAAUUCUCAUUUUCUCUUGCAAAAAUCUGUAGAGCAACAUGAAACUAGAAAAGUGCUGGGUUGAACCAUAUAAAAAUGGUAAUAUGUCUUUGACCUGUGAGGGUAAUUUCAUAUGACUCAACCUAGUAUUAUAGCCUUCUUUUUUUUUUACUUUUAACACUUCUGAAUGGAAACAUAGUUGAGCGUAGUUUUAUUUAAAAAUAGUCAUGUAAGAAGAUUGUAUAUUUCUUUUAUCAGUAAUUAAUUGUUUGACUUUUAAUGCCUAAUCUGCUUUUUUUCCACACAGGUUCUUAACCUGGUCCUCACUUUCUUGAGGGCAGAACCACCAGCCUUGCACCUUUUACAUUCUAAAACACUAGCUAAUAUUUGUUUAGUGUUUACUGUGAUAGUGAGUACUCUAAGCAUUUAAUUCUGUAAGUAUUAACUCAUUUAUACCUUACAACAGCCCUCUGUUGAAGGCAUCUCUAUUACUCAUGUUUUAUAAGUGUAAUAGCUAAGGCAUAUGACUUUAAUCAUUCGUCCACAUUAUCCUUCUAGUAGCAGAGCCAAGACUCUAUUUGUCUAGCUUCAACCUAUACUGUUAUUCAGUACAGCUAUAGUUGGUCUUUGAUACCUGCAUCCACAGAUUAACCAACCAGUUUGAAAAUCUUUUUUUAAAAAAAUUUCAUCUGUACUGAAUAGAUACAGAACUUUUCUUUGUCAUUAUUGCCUAAACAAUAUAGUAUAACUAUGGGAUAUGCAUUGUUAUGCAUUUGCCAUACAUGUAGUCAAUGACUGAAAUGUGAGUUGUGACUGUAUUUACAUAGUACUUACAUUGUCUUAGGUACUAUUAAUAAUUUACAGAUGAUUUACAGUAUGAUGACCAACGUGGGAAGAUUAGGUACAAAUACUAUGCCAUUUUAUAUGAGGAACUUGAGCAUCUAAAGAUUUUGGAACCCAUGGGAAUCCUGGAACUAAUCACUAUAGGAAUACAAAUAUUUCUGGACUAUUUAGAGAAGUUCUUUAACAUGUUGUACUUUUUUUUUUUUUUUUGGUAAAACUUAGCAUUCGUCUUUUCAACAAAUAUUGAAUACCUAUUAUGAUUUAGGCAUUAUGUUUUAUAUUUCAGUUAUCUUUAUCACCAAACUGUAAGCUUCUCAAUGGCCAGAGAAUAUAUAUACACUACCUUUACUUUAGAAUUUCUUUUUAUUUGAUAUGAACAGAUAAUUUAUACACACACACACAAUGAUAGAUAAACUUAAUAGCACAAAGGAAUGAUUUACUGUUUAUUUCGGAGAACAGCUCAUAUAAGCAAUAGGACAAUUGAGUUGUGUUUUGAGUCUGGCCAUUGGAAUGUUGUCAUAUGGAAGCAUCCAGAGAGAGGGAAGAAUAUGUACAGAGCCUGAGAAGUGUGUGGGACAGGGAAUCCUUUUUAGUGCUUUUAAGUGACUAAGGAAGGAUGAGGCUGGGGUGGUAAUUGGGAGCCAAUUGAAGGUCUUUGCAUUCUCAGAAUUCACUGUUGUGGAAGGGGAGUCAAAAAUUCAAACACUAAAAUGCUUUCUUAGCCCAAAGCACAAGUCAAAUUAAAUAUGAAUAGAUUUUGUGUGUUUCAUGAACUGACUUAUUCUAUUACAUAAUCAUUUCUAAGUGAAAUCAGUUUAUGAGAAAAGCACUGGUACAUACAGUGUUAGUGUUUUUCUGUGAGUACAAACCACACCAAUGUUUACAUAAGUCUUUGUUUUUCAGUUUUCAGUGUCUUAAAAUUGCUGUCUUCAGACCAGCAGUCUGCAUAGGCAUGUCAUGGGAACUCCAAAAUGCAAAUUUUGGACCCCACCUACUGAUUCAGAACUUGGGGGUAGGGCCCAGCAAUCUUUUUUAACAAGUUCCCCAGGGGAUUCUGAUGCACACUAAGUUGGAAAACCGCUGGUCUAUAGAGUCAGUCCUCAUGAGAUACCAGCAGGUUCCAAAUAGAAUUCAUUCCUGGGAUUUGGGGAGACAGGAAAGUAUGACUUUGAAGGUAAAACCAACAUGAUGCAAAACAGGCAUACAUAAAGGUCUGGACUGGCUGGAGUAAUUCCAAAAUAAGAUGUUAGUGCUAUGUGUUGGAAAUAGAGGGGAAUUAGUUUUUAGAUCAUUAAUCCUUUAUGUUUUCUGCAAUGGGCCUGUUUUUAAAUAAAGGAAAGGUUUUGUGUUAAAUUAAUUUACAGACGAAGGCUUGGAAUCUAGAAAAAAUAGCCAACUUGUUAGAAUGUGGCUUUUCUCCAAUUAUAGGUCAGGGCCCACUCAUUGUGGAGUUUUAACUUGAGAUAGAAUUUUUGGCUCAAGAAUAGGGAAUACUAAGUUGCCAUAGUGCUUAAAAUUGUCUGAGUCAUCUUUAUGUUUUUGGUGUUCUUCUUGGUAAGCCUUGGUAAGUGCUUACCAGGUUCUGACUCAACCUUUCUCUAAGGACCUUGCAGACUAGGAAUGUAAGGCCUAUCUGCAGUCUAAUCACAGACUUCCAGCUUGCUUAGUUUUCUCAUGAUAAUGCUACAUUGGCAUUCUCAUUUUAGAUCAGUUAACUUUGAGUUUACAGAGAGAAUGGGCUUCUCCAGAGGCUGCUCACCUCCUUGUGUAGACAAAGGAUUUUUGAAGGUUCAUAAAGCUGUGUUCUAGAGCACCGUGCCGUGGGAACCUCUACUGCAGUGUGGCAGUUGAAAAGUGUUGGAAAAUAGAAUCUUCCUUGAGGAACUUAAAAUAAUUUUUAAAGUUUUUUUUUGAUGAAAAAUUAGAAAACAGGAGGUUUUCUUAUGUACCCCAUUAGAUUGAAAAUACCUCUUCUAUUUGAUUUGGGAGCUCUCCUAGAGGGCAGGCCCUACUUUAUAAGGUACCUGUUUCAUCCUGACUGAUGGAAUGGGUUUGUCCUUUUUUCAGUCUCUGGAUUAUUAAACUUAUUGCUCACAUGUAAGACUUCAAAAUUAAGACAACUUUGCCAGCCAGGUUUGGUGGCGCAGUCCUGUAAUCCCAGUGGUUUAAGAGGCUGAGGCAGGAGGAUAGCAAGUUCAAAGCCAGCUUCAGCAAUUUAGCAGGCCCUAAGCAACUCAGUGAGACUCUGUCUCUAAGAUAUUUUUAAAAAGGGCUGGGGAUGUGGCUCAGGGGUUAAGCAUGCCUGGAAUCAAUCCACAGCCCCUGUACCAAAAAAAAGGACUUUGCCAAGGUAAAUAUAAAAGCCAAUACCAAUAAUGUGUUUCUCACCUAGACAUAUUAAUAAAACACAUAAUGCAAGUGCCCCAAGUUAGAAACUCCACAACUGACAAACUUUAUUUAAUAAGCAUUGAUGAAAUAUUUGUUUUACAGAUUUAAAAAUUCACUUUGUUUCGCAAGUUAAAAUCAUGUUAAAUGUUCUCUUCCAAAUCCUUUUUAAAUUCUAAUUUGUUAUUUAUGACAGCAGAAUGCAUUACAAUUCAUUAUACAUAUAGAGCACAAUUUUUCAUAUCUCUAGUUGUACACAAAGUAGAGUCACACCAUUCAUGUCUUCAUACAUGUACUUAGGGUAAUGUUGUCCAUCUCAUUUAACUGUCUUUACUACCCCGAUUCCACCUCCCCUUCCCUCCCUCCCCUUUGCUCUAUGUAGAGUUUGUUUAAUCCUCCCAUACUCCCCUGCAACCCCCAUUAUGAAUCAGCAUCCUUAUAUUGGAAAACAUUCAGCAUUUGGUUUUUGGGACUGGCUAACUUCACUUAGCAUUGUACUCUCUAACUCCCUUUAUCUGCAAAUGCCAUGAUUUUAUUCUCUUUUAAUGCUGAGUAAUAUUCCAUUGUGUAUAUAUACCACAGUUUCUUUAUCCAUUCAUCAACUGGAGGGCAUCUAGGUUGGUUCCGCAGUUUAGCUGUUGUGAAUUGUGCUGCUAUAAACAUUGAUGUGUCUGUGUCCCUUUAAUAUGCUGUUUUUAAGUUUUUUGGGUAUAGACUGGGGAGUAGGUUAGCUGGGUCAUGGUGGUUCCAUUCCCAGUUUUCCAAGGAAUCUCCGUACUGCUUUCCAUUUGGCUACAUCAAUUUGCAGUCUUACCAGCAAUGUAUGAGUGUGCCUUUCCCCCUGCAUUUUCACCAACAUUUAUUGUUUUUAUUCUUAAUAGCUGCAUUCUGACUGGAGUGAAAUGAAAUCUUAGAGUAGUUUUAAUUUGCAUUUCUCUAAUUGCUAGAGAUAUUGAACAUUUUUUCAUAUAUUUGUUGAUUGAUUGUAUAUCAUCUUCUGAGAAGUGUCUGUUCAGUUCCUUGGCCCAUUUAUUGAUUGGGUUAUUAUUAUUAUUAUUUUGGUGUUAAGAUUUUUGAGUUACUUAUAUAUCCUAGAGAUUAGUGCUCUAUCUGAUGUGCAUGUGAUAAAUUCUUAAUAGAUUAUAAUCAAGAUAUGAAGUUUUUCUUUAUGAAUACAUUUAGCCAAAGUCCAGUUAUUCAGACCAAAGGGCAGCUUGAUUCCUGGUUUAUGGGUAAGCUUUCUAUAUCCACCUAAUUCAGCAGAGCCCAAGUGGUUGGGAGGUGAGCUGUACAUGUCAAACCCACAGCACUGUAGCAUUCAUUGUCUACUGGAACACUGAUCACCUAUAUCAUUUGCCUUCUCUAGUACACAGUACAUCUCUUGGGCCUGGACUAGUUUCAGAGUAGGAGGUUUUCUCUGACAGGAGAGUACUCAAGUGCAUGUAAAGAACUGCCUACCUUUCUCUGACAUUCGCCAAACCCGUUUGUGUAAUUCCAGGACUGUUCUAAAGCAUCUUGUUGGUGCCCUAGUACCUCUCCUGUGUUGUAGGAUGACUCUGUUAGUUUAACAAGUUCUGUCAGAUUAUAGUUCACCACAGAGCAAAUUGGCAGAGUCCUAAAGAAAUGUUAGUACUUGGGUCCUAAAAUAUCCAGACGUCCACCAUGACACUGAGCAGACAUGUUAUCAUAAUCUCAAAAAGAUAACAACCAUCCCUCCGGAGGAGGAGCCCCUUCUAUUAGAAAGGAAAUAAUUUUUUUUUCUUUCUUUCUUAAUGGAGAAAAUAGGUGCAAAGUUUCAGUUAUAAGAUAUAAGCCCCCAGGUAUAUGGUAGAAACCUGACCUCAUCCUUUGAGUACUGUGUGUUAUGUGUUUGCCCACCCAAUCCCAUUGGUACUCUGCCUUUUGUCACAUGUUCCUUGAUGGAUCCUGUGCUCUCACCUUCUCCCUCCCUGUUGAAAGCUCUCUUUCCAGCUGUAGUGAGCCUUCUAAGCACUUCUGGCAUUCAUCUUCUAGUAAGUAGAUUAAGCUGAUUUAUCCUUCCAAGAGACCGAAGUCCUGUAAAGUCAUAUAUAUGAAGAAUGUACCCUUUGGGAAAUAACCACACAGGUAAAGAUUGGUAUUGAAAGAGACUCUUAAAGAGCAUUGCUAACUUGCUAAGCUUUUAUCUGCCCUUGAUAUCUGUAGAUUCUUUCUUCCAUUUACCAGGUAACUCAACAAGUGAGUUGCUAUCAGAGAAAGAAUAUCAAUGGGAAAAAGUAGCAAGGAAGGAUUUGGCAAGCAUUAUUCUUAUUUAAUUCUUUUUAAAUUGGAUGGUUUCUGAGAGGUUCCAUUCUUCACUGAAUUUGGGGGUUCUUGAAGACUCGAUUGCAAGUUGUUAAAAGUUCCAAUUGACCCCAUUUGAUCAAAAUAUAUGAUAUGUCAAGAUCAUUGUACUGUCAUAUGUAACUGAUUAAAACAAAUUCAAAAAUAAAAAAGUUCCAACUGAAAAUGCCAUUGUCGCAAAAGUCUGGAGUUUAUUC